CGGAGGGUGCAAGCGUUAAUCGGAAUUACUAGGCGUAAAGGGUUCGUAGGUGGUUUAUUAAGUUAUUUGUAAAAUCCCUGGGCUUAACCUGGGCAGGUCAGAUAAUACUGGUAGACUCGAGUAUGGGAGAGGGUAGUGGAAUUUCCGGUGUAGCGGUGAAAUGCGUAGAGAUCGGAAGGAACACCAGUGGCGAAGGCGGCUACCUGGCCUAAUACUGACACUGAGGAACGAAAGCGUGGGGAGCAAACAGGAUUAGAUACCCUGGUAGUCCACGCCGUAAACGAUGUCAACUAGCUGUUGGUCAUAUUGAUAUGAUUAGUGGCGCAGCAAACGCGAUAAGUUGACCGCCUGGGGAGUACGGUCGCAAGAUUA
rnacentral:rRNA from 1 species